rnacentral:siRNA from 1 species
CAGAUUAGGUCGCUGGUACCA